UACGUAGGGUGCGAGCGUUAAUCGGAAUUACUGGGCGUAAAGCGUGCGCAGGCGGUUAUGCAAGACAGAUGUGAAAUCCCCGGGCUCAACCUGGGAACUGCAUUUGUGACUGCAUGGCUGGAGUGCGGCAGAGGGGGAUGGAAUUCCGCGUGUAGCAGUGAAAUGCGUAGAUAUGCGGAGGAACACCGAUGGCGAAGGCAGCCCCCUGGGUUAACACUGACGCUCAGGCACGAAAGCGUGGGGAGCAAACAGG
rnacentral:rRNA from 1 species